rnacentral:rRNA from 1 species
AGAAUUCGCUAGUGAUUCUGGCCUGGCGCAUGCAAAAAAAAAGAACCCUUCGGGGUGAGCGGCGGACGGGUGAGUAACGCGUGGGUAACCCGCCCUGUACACGCGGAUAACAUACCGAAAGGUAUGCUAAUACGAGAUAAUAUGUUUUAAUCGCAUGGUUAAGAUAUCAAAGCUCCGGCGGUACAGGAUGGACCCGCGUCUGAUUAGCUAGUUGGUGAGG